AGUAGGCGGCACCCGCGGGGAGACAGGUGUCGGCGCAGCCUGGGAGGCUCAGGUGCUACCUUUGCCGGGUGGGGUUUGUGAGGAGUGAGCUCUUCGUCCCCGGAGGCGAGCAAAUCUGUCGGUGGCUCAUCACAGAGCGCUGUUUUGGAAAGCGUUCCACCCACCUCAGCUUCGUGCUGUGUUUGGGCCACUAGUCAGGGGGAAGGAUGCUGAGCGACAUGGACUUUAGAGUCAAAGAAGAUGGCCACGGAGACAGCAGCGUGGUCAGAGUGGUAGGAGCUGGCCAUCGGCGAGAGCUGCUCCAUGCCUGGCUGCUGGGUGCUAGAGCCUGUGGCCCACUGGCUUGCCUCACUGUGGUUGGUGGUGGUGGUGACAGAGACUGCAGCAUGACCAGAGUGGCUUUUCUGGCUUUGCCCGCCCAGCUGCUCCGUGCCAGGAGGAGGAAGAGACACCUAGAGCCUGCGACACCAUGACUUGCCUCACUGCGGGUGGGUGGCAGCGACGGAGACUGCAGUGCACCAGAGCAGUAGGAGAGCGGCCGCGCUAGGAGGGCAGGCGGCUGCAGCCAGGGUUGGGGGUCAGGCUUACAGCGAUGGACGGGCUGCAGCAGUGGCCAGGUGGUAGGAGCCUUGUAGGGAGGGCUGGUGCAUUGGCAAUGGGC
ensembl:lncRNA novel transcript